AACGAACGCUGGCGGCAUGCCUAACACAUGCAAGUCGAACGAACUCUUCGGAGUUAGUGGCGCACGGGUGCGUAACGCGUGGGAAUCUGCCCUUGGGUACGGAAUAACUCAGAGAAAUUUGUGCUAAUACCGUAUAAUGACUUCGGUCCAAAGAUUUAUCGCCCAAGGAUGAGCCCGCGUAAGAUUAGCUAGUUGGUGGGGUAAAAGCCUACCAAGGCGACGAUCUUUAGCUGGUCUGAGAGGAUGAUCAGCCACACUGGGACUGAGACACGGCCCAGACUCCUACGGGAGGCAGCAGUGGGGAAUAUUGGACAAUGGGCGAAAGCCUGAUCCAGCAAUGCCGCGUGAGUGAUGAAGGCCUUAGGGUUGUAAGCUCUUUUACCCGGGAUGAUAAUGACAGUACCGGGAGAAUAAGCUCCGGCUAACUCCGUGCCAGCCGCCGCGGUAAGAC
rnacentral:rRNA from 1 species